rnacentral:rRNA from 1 species
AACGAACGCUGGCGGCAGGCCUAACACAUGCAAGUCGAACGCCCCGCAAGGGGAGUGGCAGACGGGUGAGUAACGCGUGGGAACCUUCCCAAAGGUGCGGAAUAGCUCAGGGAAACUUGGGGUAAUACCGCAUAAUGCCGAAAGGCCAAAGAUUUAUCGCUCUGGGAGGGGCCUGCGUCUGAUUAGCUAGUUGGUGAGGUAAAAGCUCACCAAGGCGACGAUCAGUAGCUGGUCUGAGAGGAUGAUCAGCCACACUGGAACUGAGACACGGUCCAGACUCCUACGGGAGGCAGCAGUAAGGAAUAUUGCUCAAUGGCCGAAAGGCUGAAGCAGCAACGCCGCGUGGAGGACGAAAUACUUUUGUAUGUAAACUCCUGUAAGAAGGGAAAAAUAUUCCGAUUUAUCGGGAUUGAUUGUACCUUCAGAGUAAGCCCCGGCUAACUACGUG